GCAGCAGUGGGGAAUAUUGCACAAUGGGCGGAAGCCUGAUGCAGCGACGCCGCGUGAGGGAUGACGGCCUUCGGGUUGUAAACCUCUUUCAGCAGGGACGAAGCGCAAGUGACGGUACCUGCAGAAGAAGCGCCGGCCAACUACGUGCCAGCAGCCGCGGUAAGACGUAGGGCGCGAGCGUUGUCCGGAUUUAUUGGGCGUAAAGAGCUCGUAGGCGGCUUGUCGCGUCGAAUGUGAAAUCUCAGAGCUCAACUCUGACAUUGCAUUCGAUACGGGCAGGCUAGAGUUCGGUAGGGGAGACUGGAAUUCCUGGUGUAGCGGUGAAAUGCGCAGAUAUCAGGAGGAACACCGAUGGCGAAGGCAGGUCUCUGGGCCGAUACUGACGCUGAGGAGCGAAAGCGUGGGGAGCGAACAGGAUUAGAUAC
rnacentral:rRNA from 1 species